UACAUGGGGUGCAAACGUUGCUCGGAAUUAUUGGGCGUAAAGCGCACGUAGGCGGUUCGUUAAGUCGGAUGUGAAAGCCCUCGGCUCAACUGAGGAAGUGCACCCGAAACUGGCGAGCUUGAGUACGAAAGAGGAUCGCGGAAUUCCCGGUGUAGAGGUGAAAUUCGUAGAUAUCGGGAGGAACACCGGGUGGCGAAGGCGGCGAUCUGGGUCGAUACUGGCGCGUGAGGUGCGAAAGCGUGGGGAGCAAACAGG
rnacentral:rRNA from 1 species